AUAGCUUUUACUUUUGUGACUUGAAUAUUUGCAGUAUGAUACUCUGAUUUAGACUUUAAAAAGGGAAAUCAUAUAACAAAAUCUGAGUCAUUACAGUAACACUACUUUCUCAGCAAACUUAAGACUACAGAUUUAUUUUUCCUUAUUUUUGAAGAUUUGCUGCAAAAAUUGCUUAAAUAAUUCCUUUUGUCCAGUUCAAUUCUAACUGGAUUUUUAUGAAUCAGCAAGAUCUAAGAGUUAGUUUUAUGUACCUGUUAAGGAGUACAAUUUUAAAGACUAAUGACACACAAUGUAAGAAGUAUCAAAAUUCACUAGUAGUGUUGAGUGUAGUAAGCAAAUUUGUACAUCAGAGGCAAUUUGCUCCUUCUCCCCCUUCUCCCCCG
rnacentral:misc_RNA from 1 species